GCGUCCUCAAGAUUUCUCACCUGAUAACUAUUUCCGCGGCAUGUUGGACAAGCAUAUGGCAAAUUUCCAUCCACUUGAAACUGCAAAUAUUUUUCAUCGCUGAUGCCAUCGCAUUGGCAGUGCACCCAGCGCUGGCAAAUGUCACAGCAGACCAUAGGGGUUGAUUCAGAAUCUCUAUAUACCUUCAAACAAACAGGACAGUAGUUUCCCUUCACAAAUAAUCUUCCACAGGCAUCGCAACAAGUGUAUCCUAAAAACCACCUCACGCUCAGUCCAUUUCCUGGAACAUUAGAACAACAGCUGUGGCACUUUGUGUGUUUAGGGCAUAAAUAAGGCCCACUGCUAAUGUUCUUGUGUGGAGGCUGCAGACAGUAAC
rnacentral:misc_RNA from 1 species